UGCCUCUUGUUUCCCGUUUGCUGCAUGUGGUGGUGUGUCUCUGCAGAACUUGCUUCAGAUGGCUGUACGACAUGCCACCGUGGGAAACUGCGUGAGGAGUGUUUCCACCAGCACUCAGGUACUUCUGAUCAUUACUGAAGGGAGUUCGAGGCAAGCUUACCUGCUGUCUGUUGUGUUUGGACACCAUCUACCUGAGGCAGGGGCCCAAGUGAACCUUCAUCUUCAAAGGCCAAAAUUGGAUUCAAAGGAAUGUCUGGGCUCUCACUGUUGGUGACAUCUAAUCUGGAUUGUUUAGAUCCAAUAGAAAUAGAAAACUCCAUCCUAAGCUUAUAUGGAAAUUCAAGGGACCAUGAACAGACAAAUCAAUCCUGAAAAAGAACAAAGUUGGAGGCCUCAUACGCCCUGAUUUCAGAACAUGUUACAAAAGUAUGGUAUUCAAAACAGGAUGGUACCAGCAUAUAGACAGAAAGAAAUCCUUGUGCAUAUGGUCAAAGGGUCCUUGACAAGAAACCAAGACCACUCAAUGGGGAAAAGACAGUCUUUUCACAAAUGGUGUUGGGAAAACUGGAUAUUCACAUGCAAAUGAAUGUAGCUGGGCCUUUACCUUACACCAUAUACAAAAAUGAAUAAAGACAUAAAUGUAAGACUUAAAACUAUAAAAUUCCCAGAAGAAAAUAGGAGGUAUCAUGAUAUUGGAUUUAGUCAUGAUUUCUCAGACAUGACACCAAAAUCACACACAAUGAAAGCAAAAAUAGACAAACAGGACUACAUCCAACGUAAAAACAUCUGUACAUCAAAGGAUACAAUCAACAGAGUAAGAAGGCAACUUACAGAAUUGGAGAUAAUAUUUGCAAACCAUAUAUAUCUGAUAAGGGAUUAUUAGCCAUAAUAUAUAAAUAAUUCCAACAACAAAAAAUUAAAAAUUAAAAAAUUAAAGAUUAAAAAAUGAACAAAGGACUUUGACUAGCUAUUCCUCCAAAAAUGACAUACAAAUGGCCAACAUAUAGAAACCAUACAGACCAUUUCACUGACCAUUAGAGAAAUGCAAAUCAAAACCCUAAAGAGAUAUCAUCUCAUACCCAUUAGGCUACUAUUUAAAAAUAACAACACCCCUCUCCCCAAAACAAAAACAAACAAAAAAACAGGUGUUGGUGAAGAUGCAAAGAAGUUGGAAGACCUUGUACCCCACUGGUUGGGAUUUAAGUAAAAUGAUACCAUCACUAUGGAAGACAGUAUAGAAGUUACUCAAAAAAUUAAAAAUUGAAUUACCAUAAGAUCCAACAACUGAGUACCCAGCCAAAAGAACUGAAGGCAGGAUCUUUAAGAGAUAUUUGUAUACCCAUGUUCACAGCAGUGCUAUUCAUAAGAGUCAAAAGGUGG